UAUAAUACAUGGAUAUAAUAAUAUACAUGAUUGUUUACGUGAAUACAAUUUUUUUUAAAUAAGCAAAAAGCAAAGUGAAUGAAAUGAAGUUUUGUUUGGCAAGUGCGACCAAACUAAAUAAAAAAGUGAAAAGAAUGUAAAUGUGAAACUGAUAAAGCAAAAUGAAAUAAUCAGAAACAGUUUAUAAAUUCAUAACUAGAGAGCAAAGAAACAAGAAAGGACAAAAUUGAGUUUAUGAAGCUUAACAUUGCUUUAUAAAGUUGAAUAUUUACUUAGCAACAAAGUUUUGACUUUAGACUUAAACAUUUUAAUAUUAAGUUGUUUGAUUUCAUCAGGAUAUUUAUUGUAUAAUUUAAUAGACUGGUAAAGUAUUGAGCCUUUUCCGAAUUUGGUUGUAUGUGUUCCAUUUAAGUGAAUAUUGUUUCGACUUCUCAAAAGAUGAUCAUGAAGGCUACUUCUAGUGGUUAGUUGGUGUGAAUUUCGGAUUUAGUGAUUUUGCGUAUGUGUAAUACCAUGUUCGGUUCGAUUUCAUCCUCUACCGUUAAAAUUUGAAGUUGAUUAUAAAUCCAUAUUGUACUCGUGUAACGUCCUAGUCCAAAAAGGUGUUUUAAAGCUUUAUUUUGUGCAACUUGCAGCGUUUUUUUGAGAUAUUGAUUGGCUGUACCCCAGACGUUUAUGCCAUAUGUUAGGUUGCUAUGAAAAAGUGCAAAAUAUAGUUGUCUUUUUAUAGAUUCAGGAAUGCUGUUUCGAAUUCUACCGAAGACUCCAGCUAGUGACGACAGCUUCUUGCAGAGUUUUGUGAUGUGGCAUUUCCAGCUUAAGUGCGAGUCAACCAAAAGUCCCAGGUAUUUGAAUUCAGUGACUUGUUGUAUUUCCACUCCCUGAUAUCUUAUGGUAAUAUCUGGGCUACACGUACUAAAAACUAUAUAUUUGGUUUUUCGGGCGUUUACUGUCAGUUUAUGAUCAUUCAUCCAGGAUUCGGUUGUUUUGAGGUCAUUGUUCAUUUGUUCUUCGAUAUUUGAAAUUGAAGAGGUCGAAUAGGUGAGACUUAUGUCGUCUGCAAACGAAACAGAAAAUCCAUUUAGUGGGAUAUUUAUAAAGUCUUGGAUGUACAGACAAAACAGUGUUGGUCCAAGAACACUCCCUUGUGGGACUCCCACAUCCACAGGUUGUUUUUAACUUGUGCAGUCAUCAAUUUUUAUAUAUUGGAAUCGAUCUUUCAAGUAGGACUGAAACCAGAAGUAGGAGUUUCCUCGUAUGCCAAGAGCAAAAAUCUUGCGAAGCAGAAUUUUGUCGUCUACGGUAUCAAAUGCUUUCGACAAGUCUAUGAAAAGUGUGCUGACAGUGUUGCGAUAUUCUUUAUUUUUAUGUAUGUGUGAGAUCAUAUCUAUUAGGGCUGUGUUUGUGCCUGAUUUUUUCCUAAAUCCUGACUGUGUUGGACUUGAGAUAUUAUUUUUUUCAAUAAAUUCAGUUAGUUGGUGAUUUACAACUUUUUCAAUAAUCUUCUUUCAUCUUCUUUGGUACGUAUCCUUCUUUUAAUGAUUUGUUGACUAAAGUACAAAUUGGGAGACAUAGUUCAUCGCAGCAAACUUUUAUCAAUGUGGAGAGAUUGUUUUUUUAAUAGAUUUGGGUGUUGUCAUUUCCAUCACCAAGCAUUGUGAGUGCUGUUUUUGUGGAUAUAUUAUUUUGUUUGAUGUACAUUUGGACGAAAUUGUAUUUCCAACUGUAGAGAAAAAUUUGUUUAAUUCGUUUACUUUUUCAUAUUUUUCUUUCGGUGUGUAGUUUUUGAGUAACGGAAAGUCCGUACUUUUUUUUUGGAUUGUUGUAGAUAAUGCUGUUUAUGUUUUCCCAAGUUUUCUUAUUAUUGUUCAAGCUGUUUUCAAAAAUUUUCCCGUAGGGAUUUGAUUUUGUUUUUCUUUUCUGUAUCGUUACUUGAUUUCUGAGAUAUUUGUAUUGACGUUGAGUUUGUAUGUUUUUGGGGUCUUUUGAUAACUUCGUAUACCAUUUACUCUUUCCUUUGAUUAAAAGAAUCAACUCUGUGCUUAUCCACUCAUCCUUCGAAGUAUUUUUGUUUUUUGUCUUUAUUUUGUGGGAUGUGAUUCUGAUAUAACUGUUUAGUUUUUCUACAAAAUAAUUGUACAUGGUUUCGCAGUCCAUAUAUUCAUUUAAUAUUAUGGGUUGUUUUUUAAGUUUCAUUUUUAAUUUUUGCGUAUUAGGAACUAAUAUAUGGUUAAGACUUGGUUCCGAAGUAGUAUCUUUGAUUUUAGUCUGAGGAACUUCUAUAUCGAUCACGGCCAUGUUGUGGUCUAAUAAAUCCAGGUGUCCAUGAUGAACAGCAAUUUUUUGGUUGGGAUUGUUUGUGAAGAAGUGAUCAAUGUUAGAUUUUUUUCUUGUUGGAAUAGAAUUGUUUAAAUUGAAAAAAACCAUAAGUACUAAAUAGAUUCAAAUAUCUCAAAAUAAAAUCAUCUUCAAUUAAAAUAUUGAUGUUGAAAUCUCCUAUAACUAUUGCGUUUCGUUUGGAUAAUUUGCACAUGUUAUCUUCCAUGAAAGAUAAAAAUUCUUCUUUUUUAUUAGCUAUUUAGUUAGGCCUUCUGUACAUACAUAAAACAUCUAGGGAAAAAUUUUUAAUUCUAAUAUUUGCUGCACAUACACUAUCUUCAUUAUUACUUUUUGAGAAUAAAGGCUUAUAGGAAUGCGUCUUUGAUAUAAAAAUUGUAACGCCUCCUCCCUCUUUACUUGGUCUAUUGCUAGUUAACUUCGAAAAACUAGUUAGGUUGAAGUAUUUCUCAUCAUAAUCUGAAAGCCAGCUUUCUGUUACACAAAUUAUAUCAAUCCCAGUGUUUAAAGUUUUCAGAAAUAUUUCAAUGUCGUCAAUUUUAUUUUUUAUAGAUCUUGCAUUGAUAUACAGGAUCUUGACUGUGCUUGUAGUAGAUAACUUAAUGUUUGCAAUGUUUUCAUAGACAAAAUUACAAGGGGUGAAGGGAACUUGAUGCAUCACACAAUCACAACUCAUUGAAGAAAUCAAUGUUGCGGAUCUCUUUUACUUUUCCCUUUUCUGUGAGACGCACAAGUACUCUCCCAUUAGACACCCAGGAAAAUGCAAUUUUAUUUUGUCAUAAAAUUGUCAUAAAAUCUCUUGCUUUCUUAAAUAAAUAGUUCUUAAAUUUAGUCAAAGCUUCUCCUAUAUACACUGGUUGGUUUGUGUUGUCAUUGAAAACGCAACCUGUGCUUAGGUAUUUUUUUUUUCUAUUGCUCUUCUUAUAUGCGUUGAUGAUAUUAUCACGAGCACUUUUUUGGAAGAACUCAAUCAUUAUUGUUGGUGGGUUAGUAGCGUGUUUGUUUUCAUCGGAGCCAUGUGGUUUGCGAUAAGCUUCCCUAAUUUGGUCCGAUUUAAUGUCUACAUUUAAUUUUUCGGCAAUCCCUGUGAUUAUUGAUCUAAGAUCUUCAUCAUUUUUAACCGGAAUACCUGAAAUACCUAAGCUGUAUUUUAGUGAAGUUUGUUUGUGUUUUUCCACAUUUAGUUUAUAAUUAUCGAACUGUUCCUUCAAAAAGUGUAAUUCAUUUUGGAUAGCGGUGUUCUCUUCUAUGAUGGUGUUAGUGAGAGCUUUGUAAUCAUCAACCGUUUUCCUAAGCGAAUUUAAUUCUUUUUCCAGAUUUUGUUGGUUAUUUAAAAUUUCAUCGAGUUUAUCAGAAAGUUGUUUGUUUGUGAUAUAAUAUGUUUUUAAAUUUGGAUCGGUGUUUGGAAGACUAAUAGUACCUGUUGAGUCUCGGCGUUGAUUUUGAUGCUGCUGCGGUUGAAACAUGCUGAUGCGCCGCCUGUCUCUAUGAGUCUUACAAGAAGGGCAGAACCAUACCAAUUUAUGAUCUCCGACAGUUUUUGCUUCGAUAUUCCAGAGCAAGAGGAGUUGUUAUGGUAAGCCUUUUUACAUUCACCGUCACAGAAAAUUACAUUUUUCCCAUUUAAAUUCAAAUUUUUGUUGCACUUGUCACAAAUACUGCUUUCACUUGGCGCCAUUUUGUUUACAUUUACAUUACAUUUUCUAAAUCAGGAAAAGGCAGAGAAAGUUAAUAUUUGGCCACCAUAUGGUUACUUUAAACAAAAAAAUAUUAUUUCAAUUUUAUGAGAAAAAAAACAGAAACUAGGUGUUUUUUGUAUGGAAAAACCUGUUUGGGAAUCCUUUAAGGGCGUCUGGCAGAGGGAAGGCUGAACAAUAUCUCUCUUAAACUUAUAUUUUCUAAACCAGGAAUAGACAUAGAAUUUUUAUUUGUUACCAUCAUACGGUUAUACCCAACAGAAAAUAAGCUAUUAGGUUUUUUAUUAGAACUCACAGUUUCGAAAUCAGGGGAUUUUGUAUGAUUUUUUGGUGUAUCAUUUAUUCGGUUAUACCAAAACGCCAAAAGUUGAUUUUUUGCUGCACUUUGGUUGCGUCUGGCAAGGGAAAGCUGAAAAAGAUCACUGCCAGACUUUUUCCGUUGACAUACUGUGGUGCAUAUCUAGAUAUGUGCAUACUCGAAUUUCGGUUAUAUCAAAACUGCCAAAAUAUGCUGCCGGCUCUCGGUCUAGAAGGCAUAACCAAAACACAUCAAAUGGCGGAGAAACUGGAUCGCCCGCAUCGGAAAAAAAGGCCCAAAUAUUCAUUACCAUUCAAACUCAAAUUCAUUAUUGGAUGAGCCAAGCAGAAUAGCCCCAUAACAGACACCCGUAACAAAAUGUCCGCGCUUAAAUAGGUAAUCUAUUAGUGCCUGGCUACACGGUGAAUUUUCAAUCACCUAAGCAGUGAGUUUGUUAGCAAGAGGGAUGAGGAACUGAAUUUUCUGAGGGUAGUACAGUUCCAUUACUAAAUUUUUCCUCUUUUUGACGUUUGUUCCUAGAAAAUGUAAAAGUGGAACGUGAUUGGACACAACAGUGUGUAGCCACCACAUGUGACUUUUCAAUCGAUUGAAAAAUCACUGUGUAGCCAGGCACUUUAAGAGUGGACAAAAAAAGGGUGUAUGGACCUCAGCAUGACUUUGUUGAAGUAACCCACGUUUCUAGCCGGGCAUGGUCCACGUAGCGUCUUGAUUGCAGUACAGUGUAUAUUGCAGCUAUCUCCGUCGGCAAGCAGAUAUUACAAGGGUUAAGCCACCCGUGUCAUUCUGGGUUAAUAUAACUCUAUAAAGAGCAUCUAAGUGGCUUUGUGGGGAUAAACCCACGUUCUAUGCCGGGCGUAAGAAAAAAUGUAAGGUAUCACUCGACGUUUGUUUUCUUCUAACCACAACCGACGCCGCUUCAGUGAAGAUUGUACCUAAAGAAGGAAGUUAAUGAGCUUUAGCUGGAUAAAAGCCAUUAAAAUUGUGUUUCGAAACCAAUUUAGUUUCCUGUUUGAAAAUUUUUUUCUGCAUCUAUUAAUAAUGGUGUGCGUUUUGUUAAGUAUUUCUUUUUACAUAUGGUAGUAUUAAGUGUUAGUUAUUAAAAACACAAAUUCAAACAUGCAAAACAACAAUUAAAUAAAUAAAUUUCAAUAAAUAAAUAAAUAAAUGUGGUAAAAAAAAACUUAAACCUAGUAUCACAGUUAUAUAAAAUGUCAAGAAAAAUAAAAAAAAUUUAAAAAAAAUAAAUACCACAGAUCGAAAAAGUAGAAAUGAACUAAGCUAAAACUAAUCUAAAUGCAAGUAAAUAUCACAGAUUAAGAAAAAUAUAAUUAACUAAACCACAAUUAAACUAAAAUUAAGUAAAUAUCACAGAUUAUAAAAAAAAAAAUAUCUAAAUUAUCAGUCUUUAAAAUUUAUCAAAAUUUAAAAAAUCACAUAUGCUUAAUAGUUUUUAUCACAGUUUAGUACCUAAGUAUAUAAUUUAAAUAUAUCAAAACAUAUAACAAAAUAGCAAAAAUAUAU